rnacentral:lncRNA from 1 species
UACUCUCUCUAUUACAUUACUCUAUUUAUUUUUUAUUGUUUUCAUAUUUCAUCAUCAAAUUUUGUAUAAGAUAAGUUGAUUGAAGAAGUUUUAUUUAAUUAAUAAAUUUUUCUCUCUUUUUUUGUUUUGUUUGUCCACCACUUAGUAUGUUAUACGUAAAGGGUUUCUGAUACAUCUGGAAAAAUUGAAACCAAGACUAGGGAUUUUUAACAAACAGGAUCAAGAAUCAUUACUCUUUCGUUUCGACACAAGAAAAAAGGAUUUUUCUACACCCCCUUCUUGUGUCGAAGACUAGGAAGACAAAUAAUCCCUCCUAGAAUUUUUUGUUCCCCGCAUUUAUCCCCUGCUUCCUUAUGUCUAGUAUUUAG